GCCUGAACUACAGGGGACAUACGAAUGUUUAAAGGGACUUUCUCACAUAGCAGGAGGUAUGGAGGUGCAUAUAUACUACUAAAAGAUGUACACUCUGCUAGAAAGCAUCAGUAACAUGAUUGAAAUAUUCCAACAAUACUCGAACAAUGAUAAGGAAGAAGGUACACUGAGCAAAAGAGAGCAGCUGAAGGAACUCCGGAACUAGAAUUGCAGGCAGGCUUGAUGGUGAGAAACAGGAAGGAGCACAUAGGUUGAUUCCAUAUCUGGCCUACAAUGAAAAAUUGCUGCGAUGAACAUAGAGCAGAAAACUGGCCUAUGGAUUGAUAUCAUUGUGCUUUGGACAGGCAAUCCUUUUUUCAGUUCUAAGGAUCAACUCCUCGCAGCUUUUGCAUACCAAUCACAGGCUGAAGUGUAAAACCUGAGCCGUCUCGUGAGAUUGCAGCAAAGACACACCAAGAUAACAGAUGUGAAAGCGUUUUGAAAAUGUUAUGAGUGCUCUACAAAUUUCAGCAUCAUUAUUACAAAGGCAAUAAAAGGAUUUACCGUGCGGAUUUAUGAAGCAUGAACUCGGCCCUAUUAUGAAGCCUUUUACUUUCCUCACUUGUAUGAGAAACUAAGAAAAACUACCUUGCUGAAAUCAUUUCAUUGGGCUUUCAAAUGCAUAGGAAAGAGAGGAAGACUUGCUGAGAUUUUAAAGACUUAUUGAGGUUGGUGAAUCCAAACUCUACUCCACAGAAGACAUCUGCAGGCUGGAAAGCAAGAAAGCACAAAGCCAUCUGUUGGCAGAA